AUAAGUCAAGAAAUUUCAGAUAAUAUGUUUGAUGAUGAGGAUGAGGUAGAUGAGAAUGAUAUGGUUCUGGAACAUGGAGCAUUAGAGGAAACCCUGGUAGACCCGGAAACUGGAAUACACUUUUAUCAGCUUCAGACUGAGAAUACAUUAGAGAGCAUAGAUUCGCAACCAAACUUUCUCAGUUCUCAAAACUGGAAUGAGCGGAGAUCUGUGAUUCAGGAAAACCCGGCUCAGUUUCACCGUUCUACGGAGAACCCAACUCAAUCCAUCCGUACUACGGAGAACCUGGAACAGUCUCUCCGUCCUGCGGGAAACCCAAACCAAUCCCCCCGUCCUACUGAGAACCAAAAUUUACGCUUGAGAAGAGAAGAUAAUAAACCUGAACUUGUUUUCAGUCCCGAAGGAAACGAAGGAUUUAUGUUUACAAAUUUCUCUCAUGAACCUGUGGAACCUGCGAGCAGUACGCCUAGGGAACUAAAUGAAGAGAUGUUUAUGAAACGAUACAAUUACUCAUCAAACCUGGAGUUUGGGAACCAGAACCUUAGAAACCCUAGGUCGGAUAAAAUUGAGGAGAAGAUAAACAGUGUUAAAACUGCUUUCAACAAUCUCAAGUUAACACCACGUGAUACGUUCUCAGAUAUACCUUUUGAAGAAUCAUUUACCAGUGCGGGGAGCACAGCCUCGCCCCGCUCCGGAGGAUAUUAUACGGAUAGAGCAACCUCGCCCUCGGCAGCCUCGGUAACCUCAGUUCAAUCUGUGUCCAGUCAAGUUUCAGUAUCUGGCAGAAGAUUUCUUGAGUGGGAUUACGGAUCCGACCUGGGUUAUGUUGACGGUCAGCUCACGCAGAUAGAAGCUGCCAAGUCUCUCUCAACCCUGGAGAAACUAGCAAUCGGAAACUAUUCAGAGUAUCUCAAGGAUUCGGAUGAUGAGCAGAACCAUCUCCGACGUGGAUACGGAAGCAGGUUCCCUCCGGAUACUUUCUACGAUGAAACAAACGUAAGAAUGAAGAAGUUUGCUGAGAGUUUAAUGCGCCAACGUCAAGUACGCGAACAAGAGCGGUCUCGUCAGGAAAGAAGAUCAAAUUCGAAAGAGCGGAAGUCGAGUAGUCCACGGAGAUUUGAGAAAAGAAACAAGUCCAAGGAAAGAUCAGGGACGGAACACAAGGAUGAGUUGAGGUUGAUGGAGCAAGGAGCAUAUUCUCUCCCCGUGAUCCUGACUAAAAACUCCGAUAAGUCAACUUCGGAGGUUGGAUCUUCUCCGGAGAAACGGAGAGCAGGGAAGAAGAAGCGAAGUAAAAUCCGCAAAUCUUCGUCCAUGACAGAAAUAUCCGAGGUAUCUCGGGAUAAUGAGAUCAACAAGCGUUCUUCAAGUAAUGUCCAGCUAACCCUUCAGACCAAAACCAGGAAAGAGUCCUGUUCCAACUCCUCAAGUUCUUCCAGAACUUCACAAACCGUGCCCAGUUCUUCGCAGUACCAGGAGCAGGAAGUGGUUCUACCGGCUCAUCUUCAGGAUCUAUCAAUAGAAACAGAAGAUCAUCAAAAGGAAAGUACAAAGUUUGUGUCUCAGAGUUCUAAACUGAGUUCUCAAUCUCGACAAUCUUCUAAACGAUCAAUCAGCAACUCAUUUGAAACCGUGAUUGCUGCAGAGCCGUGUUCGUCAAGUGGAAAGGAUUCUAUAGAUACAGAGGAGGAGAUUCAUCUUGGUCUACUUCAUAACCCUGCUCCAGGUAGGAGGAGAGAACAGGACGGACGUAAUGCUUGGACGGAUAAAUCCUCUGAAGAGCGAGAUCUCCGGGUUUACAGCUCUGUACCCUCGACUUCGGACGAGGAGAACGGACGCAGGAGAAGGUUGGCGGAGAGAGGAACCGGGGGAGAUACAAGCACUAUGGAGUCCGUUCAGAUGAUUGACCGAGCAAAGAGUUUUGAAUAUAUUCCCGGUGAGUCAUUUCCUCUGCAGGAAAACUCUUCAAGUUACGAAUACCUCCCAGGGCACCUGGUACCGGAGCAGAGACCUCCAACAGUUCUAAAUCUGGAACUGGAUAAAUUACCCGGAGUCAGAAAAUCCUCUAGUUCCUCUGGAGCCAGAAACUCUGCCAACCUCCCGGAGAAACCCCAAGAAUCUGAACCUGGUCAAUCCAACCUAGAUAGAAUAUCUCUAGAGCUCCGCGGGAAAUCUAAAGAACUUCUUGCAGCAAACCUGACUCAGACUAAAUACUUCUUUAAGAAAUUAAAACGUUACAUUGACUUCCUCUCAACUCCGUCCUCAACCCUCUCCGAGUGCAGGAUGAAACAGCAUCUUGCAUCCAAGAUUUCAAGGUUACUCUCCUCCGAGGAAACUAGGUUAGAGAUGAGCAGUGAGUUGAGCCGAGGUGAGUCUAGUGCAUCCUGUCUCUCCGUCCUUCAAUCCGAACCCUGCUCCUACAGUAGUAAUAUCCCUGCUAGAACCAGUAAACCGGAGAGAUCGAAACGAAAUGAUCCAGUUUCAGAUGACAGCAGUCUUCUCUCCGGGGCGGGAAAUAUGCAGAACUGGAAAACGUCCAAGACAAGGUCAGAGGAAAAGUUUGAGAAAAGAGAGAAGCAACCAUCUGCUCCUCCUCAACCCAUCCCUCCCUCCGGACCCUCAAACCCCCCGAGAGAUGUCGAGUAUGUCGAAGCUCUGAACAGAAAAAGAACCGAGCAUUUAAAAAACUUAAAACGAGAAAUAAAAAUCUUGGAGAAGAUUGAACGAAAACUCUCUAAAGAUCCAAUCUCACCCUCAUCAGAGUCUUUAACUCUUCAGCUGCUGGAGAGUCCAACUAGAAAACUAACAUUUGUCAAGAACUCUGGCGGCCGGGGGAAUGAUUCCACUACCAUUACGGAGAACUUUCAAGAGUCUCGGGAUUCUCCGGAUAAGGGCGGAGGGCACGGAGCAGGACCCACCAGUGUUAUUGAAGAUCCUGAGAUACACAUCCAAGCAUCACGUUCGGAUAUUUCCUCCAGACUCUCUUUAAUAAGCGAAAAAAGUAAAAGAUCUGUUCGGAAGAAUUCUAAGAUUGUAUCCCACACAGAGACUAUCCAUCUUCAUGCCAAGUUUGAUUCCAUUACAACGGAGGAGAGUUUAAUGGGAGCUCCAUCCCAGGAUCGGAGUCAAUCUGACAUUUCUCCGUCCCUCCCCUCCUCCUCUCUCCGAUCUAAUAUAUCCAGCUCCGGAACCUCAGAGUAUAUUUUACAGAGAACUCAGCAUUGGAACAAGGAGAACAGGAAGGCAAGGACGAAUAAGGCUGGAUCCUUAAAUCAAUUUACGAAGAGCACCAAACCCGUAGCCUACUAUCUUCCCGUAAAUAGUAUGAGCCCUAUCAGAAUAGGUACCCGGAUACUUAGAGAAUCUUCACAGAACAGGCGUCAAGGAACACAUAGUUAUAAAAACCGGAAUAUUAUGAGCAUGUAUAUGGCAUCUAUAGACAAUAAUGAAAGACCGCGUGUGACUAUACCCAGUAGACCUAGAGAAGAUGUCACAAAACCUACAAAACUAUCCCUCCAGGACGCUCUACUCACAAAGCGACCAAACUUUGUCAAACGCUCCGAGAGACGGGUUCAAGUACUCAGACGUAUCCGAGAGAAAAGAGAAGAGCGGGCGAAGAAGCAUGAAGUCUGGUUGAAUAGUAUCCGAUGUUUGAGUCCGAACUCGAGGAAGGAUGUCCGUCCUGUGUUCUCUCCGAGUCCUGCAAUUCGUCUUUUCUCCCAUAAGGAGAUGGUUUCUUCAACUAAACACAAAUAUUCAACUCUACCUGAAGUUAUAAACAAGAAGGAAUCCUCUAGGAAGGAAGGACAGAGUGAAACCAAUAGAUUAAGAAAGGAUAUUUACAGCAGACAGUUAAAGAGAAGGUUACACAACGGAAAAGUAUCGUUGAACCAUCAUGAUAGAAUAUUUUAAUAAUAAUUUUAAGUAAACAACUCUUAACUGUGUGUUCCUUUAUACAUUUUUGUAGUCUCUUCUUUAACAUUUUGGCCAGGAUAAGACCAAGCAAGAAAAUAUUGAAGUAUGAGUCGUCAUUAGUGUCUCAUACUUUGUGGGUACCCCUGUAACAGUUUAAGGUUUAGUUUUCUCAAGCCGUAUUUAUUUUGUCUGUUUUUGCUACAUUUUUACAUUUUCAUAUGUAUUUUGUACAGAUCUGCAAUCUGCAUUAGUCAUGGUUUAAUAUUAUUGUAAAUUAUAAAUUGAAUAAAGAUGAAACAAGAUUAAA
rnacentral:misc_RNA from 1 species